rnacentral:lncRNA from 1 species
CAUAACUCGGAGCAGCGUACCUCCCUCCGCGCAUCCAGAAACCUAAAGAGCAAAUCGAAUCGUAUUUUGUCCCUCUGUAUUUACGAAGACUCAUUUGCCAGCUUCUCUAAUCCACUUUAAAGAAAAAAUAGAGAAAGCGUUUGUAGAAGUCUUCCGAGCUUCCAGUCAGCAUCCCAAGUAGGAGGCAAGACAAUGUGUAACUGAAAGAGAAAAGGCAGGGUGUCCCUUCUGUGAGGAGACUCACUCUCCAAAGAAAAAACCUGUAUUACAAGGUGCCCUCAUGAUGGUAGAGAGGAAACAUGCAGUCUCAAGAGGAACUGGGGAAAUACAUGUUACUUCACUCCAUGUCAGUGAACUCUUUCUUCAUCAGAACUUCUGCCCUGGAGAGAGGUUCUUGAAGAGUAAAAAGUCACUGGGAACUAAUUGUUGAAGAUUGUUACAAUUAUGAGAACCACUGUGCUCUGGAAGGAGCCAAUCAGACACUGUGGCUGGGCUGCUGUCCACCCAGCCAUAGCUGAGAACUUGCAGCCAACCACAGCACAUGUGCACACAGAUAUGAGAAAAAAAGACUCCUGGGAAACUGAUUUUGUGGAAGACAUUUAAAAACAUUUGGCAAAUUUUCAACAUGGAUGGACCUGGAGGGCAUUAUUCUAAGGGAAAUAAGCCAGAUAUAAAAAAGACAAAUGUGAUCUCACUUAUAUGUGGAACCUAAAAAUAGACUCAUGGAAGCAGAGAGUAGAAUGGUGGUUGCCAGGGGUCAGGGAGGUUGGAAAUGAAGAGGCAGUGGUCAAAGAGUACAAAGUUUUAGUUUUGCAAGAUGAGUAAGUUCUAGGGCAAUAUAGCAUAGUGUCUAUAGCUAACAAUACUAUGUUGUAUAUUUAAAAAUUUUCUAAGAGGGUAAAUAUUACAGUAAGAUUUAUUAUUAUAACCACUACUAUUUAUGGUAAGUAUGCAUACCACAAAUAGUAGUGGUUAUAAUAAUAAUAACAAUAAUAAUAAAAGGGAGAAGAAGAAACUUUGGGAGGUAAUCGGUAUGUCUAUGGCCUUGAUAGUGGUGAUGAUUUAAUGGAGGUAUACUUAUCCCCAAACUCAUUGAGGUGCAUAUAUUAAAUAUGUACAGCUUUUUACAUGUCAAUCAUACUUCAAUGGAGUAGUUUUAAAAAACUGCCAAAAACAAUAGAAGAACCACAAAAUUUUUAUUUAAAAACCCUGAAAGAAACCCCUUUGAUUGAUUGCUUAAUGGAGAACCCAGAGCAAUAAAUUGAUGGAGACAAUAGGUUUCUGUAAUGUUAUGGUAGUAGUCCCAAUUUCCCAGCAGACAUUAUCUUAGGGACUCAGGAAAAAAAAUCAGAACUCUCAGGAAUUUUCACAAAUUCCCCAAAGCAUAAGUUAUUCCUUACUAGUUCUAAGAUUAGUUAUAUUCUUUACUUGCUAUUAUGGAUUUCUAAAAGUUGUUUAAUAAAUAAGAGAUAUUGGGAUGCCUGGGUGGCUCAGCGGUUGGGAGCCUGCCUUCAGCUCAGGUUGUGAUCCCAGUAUCUGGGAUCGAGUCCCGCAU